GCUUCCUACGGGAGGCAGCAGUGGGGAAUAUUGGACAAUGGGCGCAAGCCUGAUCCAGCCAUGCCGCGUGUGUGAAGAAGGCCUUCGGGUUGUAAAGCACUUUUGUUCGGGAAGAAAAGCUACCGGUUAAUACCCGGGAGUCAUGACGGUACCGAAAGAAUAAGCACCGGCUAACUUCGUGCCAGCAGCCGCGGUAAUACGAAGGGUGCAAGCGUUACUCGGAAUUACUGGGCGUGAAGCGUGCGUAGGUGGUGCGUUAAGUCUGUCGUGAAAGCCCCGGGCUCAACCUGGGAAUGGCGAUGGAUACUGGCGCGCUAGAGUGCGGUAGAGGAGAGUGGAAUUCCCGGUGUAGCAGUGAAAUGCGUAGAGAUCGGGAGGAACAUCAGUUGCGAAGGCGGCUCUCUGGACCAACACUGACACUGAGGCACGAAAGCGUGGGGAGCAAACAGGAUUAGAUACCCUGGUAGUCCACGCCCUAAACGAUGCGAACUGGACGUUGGGAGCAACUAGGCUCUCAGUGUCGAAGCUAACGCGUUAAGUUCGCCGCCUGGGGAGUACGGUCGCAAGACUGAAACUCAAAGGAAUUGACGGAAGC
rnacentral:rRNA from 1 species